rnacentral:rRNA from 1 species
AAGAGUUUGAUCAUGGCUCAGAUUGAACGCUGGCGGCAGGCCUAACACAUGCAAGUCGAGCGGAUGACGGGAGCUUGCUCCUUGAUUCAGCGGCGGACGGGUGAGUAAUGCCUAGGAAUCUGCCUGGUAGUGGGGGACAACGUUUCGAAAGGAACGCUAAUACCGCAUACGUCCUACGGGAGAAAGCAGGGGACCUUCGGGCCUUGCGCUAUCAGAUGAGCCUAGGUCGGAUUAGCUAGUUGGUGGGGUAAUGGCUCACCAAGGCGACGAUCCGUAACUGGUCUGAGAGGAUGAUCAGUCACACUGGAACUGAGACA